CAACUACAACCUCUGUCCCAAAUUUCUUGUCUUAGAUUUGUCUAGAUACAGAUGUAUCUAAUACUAAAAUGUGACUUGAUACAUCCGUAUCUAGACAAAUCUAAGACAAGAAUUUUGGGACGGAGGGAGUAUUUU
rfam:Triticum aestivum genome assembly, contig: Triticum_aestivum_CS42_TGACv1_scaffold_148717_2BS